UACGUAGGGUGCAAGCGUUAAUCGGAAUUACUGGGCGUAAAGCGUGCGCAGGCGGUUUUGUAAGUCUGUCGUGAAAUCCCCGGGCUCAACCUGGGAAUGGCGAUGGAGACUGCAAGGCUAGAAUCUGGCAGAGGGGGGUAGAAUUCCACGUGAUAGCAGUGAAAUGCGUAGAUAUGUGGAGGAACACCGAUGGCGAAGGCAGCCCCCUGGGCUAAGAUUGACGCUCAUGCACGAAAGCGUGGGGAGCAAACAGG
rnacentral:rRNA from 1 species